AUAGUUUUCGUUUCGUUCGUGUUCGGUUCUCUCUGUUGUGUCGCUCUGCCGAGGACUUUAUUUCAGUAAAGUAAUCGCACGACGUUGUAACAUCAAUUUAAAGCCAGCUCGUACCGCACGGAUAUAAAUAGUCGUCAUGGGUUGCCACAAUCGCAAAGCAUCUGUAAUGCAUGGAGUGUAUCGCCCUCAGGACGUAGCCAGCAGUGACGCCCAAUUCAAUCCGGCAGAACAAAUGAUCUCGGGCUCCAAUUCCGGGAUGUCCUUGAUGGAAGGGGAAGAGUUACUAAAUGUUCAGAAAAAUCAGCCUUAUGACGGCACGCAAACAUAGUCCAGUAUUCAAUCCAAUCCAAUCUGGCAUGACAAAUCUAUACUGACUCCAAUUCCGGCAGGUGCCCACUAAACGAUAUAAAGCUGUAAAACGUUCAGGAAAACUCGUACGUUUACCGACAAAGAACCAGAACGACUUCAAACUCGGAGAUGACCAGUGUUUCUCCCCGGUGGUAGCAUUCGUGCCUGUUCUACAUGUUUGCAACGCCACUGUUCGGGCACUCUGGCUAUUUGGGCGAUGGCGUCCACCAUCAUCUCCGACCUGUCCGUCGGUGUGAUGAGAUCGAGGAUGCUGAUCGUUUUCCACUUCGCCCUCUCCCGGUCGAAUCACUCACAGAGUUGGUCAAUGAAGACACACCACCUUGGAGUGAAAGGAUAUUUGCACGAUUUACAUUCUUUGUAGUUUCUCCAAGGACAGCCCUGUGAACAACGACCGUGAUUUUGGUUGCUAUGGAUGCUUGCGGUGGUGUUGGUCAUGGCGGUGCGGGACAACGCGGCCAGAGCGAGGACAUAGACCACCUUAUACAUGGUAGACACGAAGGCGAUCAAGAACAACUGUACGUUCACCUGGUCGACUCUGGCUUGGUGGAUUCCACUGUUGUACUUUCAAGUUAUUAACCGGACGAAGAACAAGACACCCGUUACUAGUAAGUACUCGUUCUAAUUGUAGAGUUCUUCCGGGAGAAAACUAAGCCGUUACUGCGAUUUUCAAAGAGGUCGUUGUUAUUCACAUUCACCAAUUACUGCCGUUCUUAUCGGCGUCUUCUGGUUGUAAUGAAAGUAGGAAUAAUACAGUAGGCGACAGAGAGCCUCGGAUUGCAGAUAAAUGAGACAAAGACCGUACUGAUGAUGGCAACAUCAGCGACUCUAUCAAUACAUCAACAGAAUCUACAUAGGCGUGACGUACAGAAAGAUCAACGCAUUUUUGAAGUCGUCCCACAAUUCACCUAUCUUGGUUUAAAGGUCAGCAACGACAAUAGCAUGGUAACUGAGUUGCGCGCAAGGAUUCUGGCUGCCAACCGGUCAUUCUACAGCCUGAAAAAUCAGUUCACCACAAAGAACCUGUCGCGAUGGACGAAGCUGGGACUAUAUAGUACUUAUAUAGUACCGGUACUCACAUACGCCUCUGAGACAUGGACACUGUCCAAAUCUGACGAAACCCUCUUAGCCGCGUUCGAGAGGAAGAUGCUCAGAAAUAUACUUAGCCUCGUAUGUGUGGAAGGACAAUGGAGGACCCGUUAUAUUAACGAGCUAUACGAGAUGUACGGCGACCUCAUUGCCGUCCCUCCAUAUCGCCAGGGGCGGAUGAACCACUACGCAAACUAAACGGCCGCGUGGAGUCCCGAAAAAAAGGGACCUUUCUUUCUGUUGUAGACACUGAGGUUACAGUUACGUAAAACAAUCUUCCCGCCGUUCCCUAUCACGCGCGCCCUCGAAUCUUGCCGGUUACCGAGUGGCGGCGUGUUCGCCGGUCAACCCCAUUUACCGCGCAACCGAUGACCCCGGAUGGAUCACACGCACACAUCGAUCGACGAACGAUACCUUUCAACGGUGAAUUACCGCUGGCAAAUUCAUCCGGUCCAGGUUAGCUCAUAACAUAUACCCUUUUUAAAUAUCGACAACAUACCUGCCGACGCGGGAGCCUUCUGAACCUAAAAGACCGACGUGGCGAUCGUACCGAUUACUGCUAUCUCUGCGUUACCAAAGGAGCUGGAUUUGGGAUGGCUGCAUUGGAGAUGUGCUAUUAUGCUGGAUCAUUCCUGGAACAAUCCUUCCAGCUGUCCGUGUGCAGAUCCAACGGUAGGGUGCUCUGCCUUGCACUCAACCCUAGUACGUUCAGGGAAUCACGCUUCCGCAGCUGGUUCAAAUGACGACGAUGAACCCGGUGAUCGUCCAUCUCAACCUCGAAAACUAAGCUGCCCAGUACUUUUGUUACUCGCGCCAAGACCCAUUUCCACGAGUACCGUGCGAAUAUUUUGGCAUAAACGAUUUCACCGCGCUGAAAAUGUGUAUCCAAAUUCACCGCUUCACCUUCCAUCGAAGCUCUUCGUCCUUGGUUUUGCAUCUUUUGUUUUAAUAACAGCGUAGGGAUCGUUCGCUGCUCCUGUGGUUUUUCUGUCGCUGACCAGAAUUGCUUCAAUACACGAAUCGACUCCGAGGCCUUCGCAACGUCUCUAAAAUUGAGCAGAAAUUCGUUAAUACUGUUUAAUGCCUGGAAGCUUACAUCUUUUCCCUGCUCAGCGCUCGCGGUGUCCCAGACACACGGCAAACAAAUGAUAAUAAAUCCUCGAUGCGCGAUUUCAUCAGCUGCAAGCACUUAUACCGCUUGCUUACAAGAGCUUCCGCUCUCCCAAAUAGAACGGUCAGCUUCCUCACCGUUUCGUCGCCAAUGGUAUCUCGCAAGGAACACUCGGCAGAAUGAAACUGGCGUAGCGCGCGUGCUCCGCGCUCCUUAGCUGCGCGAACAGAUCCACAUACCGAGCAUACCAUGUAGCGAC